AUUGAACGCUGGCGGCAGGCCUAACACAUGCAAGUCGAGCGAGCGGCGGACGGGUGAGUAAUGUAUGGGGCCUGCCCCAUAGAGGGGGAUAACUACUGGAAACGGUGGCUAAUACCGCAUACUAUCGGAUAACCCAUAUGGGAUUAGCUAGUAGGUGGGGUAAAGGCUCACCUAGGCCACGAUCUCUAGCUGGUCUGAGAGGAUGAUCAGCCACACGGGAACUGAGACGCGGCCCAGACUCCUACGGAGGCAGCGGUGGGGAAUAUUGCAAUAUGGGCGCAAGCCUGAUGCAGCCAUGCCGCGUGUAUGAAGAGGGGCUUAGGGUUGUAAAGUACUUUCAGCGGGGAGGCGGUACCCGCAGAAGAAGCACCGGCUAACUCCGUGCCAGCAGCCGCGGUAAUAC
rnacentral:rRNA from 1 species